rnacentral:rRNA from 1 species
AUGGAGACUGCUCCUCGGCCGGCCGAAAGCGGAAUCACGGCGACGGAGCAGCAGAAAGAGGACCUCGAGUUCCUGUGGAAGUGGCGCAAGUACCUGCUGCUGCUCGCCACCCUGGUGGCGAGCGUCACCUACGCGGCCGGCCUCAACCCGCCGGGCGGCGUCCGGUCCGACGAGGCCCCGCGGCUGCCGGCGGCCUACCCGGACCGCGUCGGCGACCCUGUGCUCCUUACCACCAAUGAGCGCCGGUACACCGCUUUCUUCUACUGCAACGCCGCCGCCUUCAUCGCGUCCCUGGUCGUCAUCAUGUUCCUGCUGGACCGGCGCAUCAGCGACAACAGCGUCGGCCUCACCAUCCGCUACAACGUAUUUUUCUACGCCAACGCCAACUCCUUCGUGGCGUCCCUCGCCAUCAUCAUGCUGCUCAUGAGCCGGACGCUGAUGAGCGGCAGCCUCGCCCGGUCGCACGCGCUGCCGGUGUGCGUCCUGGUGGAGCUGCUCGGCCUCAUGGCCGCCUUCGCCGCCGGGAGCUGCAGGAGGAUCGACACCACCGUGUACGUCGUCUGCCUUGCCGGCGUGGUGCUCCUCAACAUUGUGGUACAGGCGAAGGCCAUGUACACGUUCGCGCAAUGGCGUGCAUACGUGCGCCGCGUGCUCACGUGCACCAACUUGGAGCCAGACACGCCGGGUAAUUCUCAUGAAGGAGGAGGUGACUCCGGCGAGGUCCACGGGGAGAGGACAAUCACCAUCCAAAAUGGGCAGGUAGACGGCAAGGUGGAGGAGUCGCGGUCACUUCUGCUGCUGCUGGCCACCCUGGCGGCGACGGUGACCUACCAGGCGGGGCGGAGCCCGCCGGGCGGCGUGUGGCCGGACAACCACGACCCAGGGCAUCCAGACCACAUCCCCGGGAACCCGAUCCUCCUCGACAUGCACCCCAAGAGGUACAAGGCAUUCUACUACUGCAACACGGCGGCGUUCGUGGCGUCGGUGGUCAUCAUCAUCAUCGUCCAGAGCAAGGAGCUGAGCUCGCCCGCCACCAUCAGACGCGCCGCGCUCAAGACGGCCAUGAUACUGAAUCUAUUCGGCCUCAUGGGCGCCUACGUCGCCGGGAGCUUCCGGGACGCCCCCACCACCAUCUACGUCUUUUCCUUGGCCGUCGCCGUCUUCGUCUACUGCAUAGCCAAGGUCGUGGUGUUCAAUGCUCAUGGUCAGAGCAGGCUCGGCAAGUGGAUGCACGACAAGUUCAACAGGCUUGCACAGCUGCUGUGUCUCUCUGCCAGCCAACCCGGGUCCGAGCCCGAGGGCAGUGAAGAAGAUCGCAAAAAGCUCGAGAGGAGGCGCAAGUUCUUGCUGCAGCUUGCCAUCCUCGCCGCCACCGUAACUUACCAAAUCGGUCUGAACCCGCCAGGAGGGUUUUGGCCGGAGAGCAAAGGCGAGGGAUCGCUUAUCGCCGGCGACCCUGUCCUCCUUGACCACUACUCGAUCAGGUACCAGGUGUUCUUCUAUUGCAAUGCUACAGGAUUCAUGGCGUCUGUCGCCGUCAUCCUCCUGCUGGUGAACCAGAAGCUGUACAAGCAGGGCAUCCGGAGCAAUGCGCUCCGCGUCUGCGUCAUGGUCGGGCUUCUAGGUCUCAUGGGCGCUUACGCAGCCGGCAGCUGCCGGCAACUGCGGACCUCCAUCUAUGUCUUUGCGCUCGUGGCCGCGGUGGUUACAUUCCUCGUCCUGCAGACCCUACUUUUCGUGUCGGCGGGGAGAGUCAAUUGUUCAAAGCUGCCAUGGCUUCCCGAGCGGCUAAAGCGGCUCUUCGAGCCACUAGGAUCAUCGCCUUCAUGGCUGUCCAUCCAGAACAAAGGUGACGACGAACAGUACGCGAAACGCAAGUACCUGAUGCUGCUUGGCAUCCUUGGAGCGAGCGUUACGUACCAGGCGGGUCUCGCGCCUCCUGGUGGCACGUGGGGCGACGAUGAUACCGCGUCAUCCCCAUUGCCAUCGUCGUCCCCAUCAGCAAGCCCACCCAACAUCGCCGGCAACCCGAUCCUACUUCACUCCAACCCGGCACGGUACCAAGCCUUCUUCUACUGCAACGCGACCUCAUUCAUGGCCUCCAUCGUCGUCAUCAUGCUGCUGCUGCAGUACACCGUCAAGAAGAGCGGUUCGCUGCUGUGGGCGCUGCAGGCCGCCGUGGUGCUCGACUUGUUCGGCCUGCUAGGCGCCUAUGCCGCCGGCAGCUGCAGGGACUGGGAGGCGUCCGCGUGCGUCAUCGCGCUCGUCGGCGCCGUGGUCGUCUUCAUCACCAUCUACGCGCUGCUGUCGUUCGACGCCGUGCGAGGGAAGGUGAAGGAGCUCACGGUGUGCAAGUACUUUUCUAUCAUGAUGGAAAAACGGGUGUGGAAGCUCUUGGGAGUUAGCAAUGGCGAUGAUGAUCAGUCAGCCGCAAUCGUAGCAGUGUGU